GACGAACGCUGGCGGCGUGCUUAACACAUGUAAGUCGAACGGAAAGGCCCUGCUUGCAGGGUACUCGAGUGGCGAACGGGUGAGUAACACGUGGGUGAUCUGCCCUGCACUUCGGGAUAAGCCUGGGAAACUGGGUCUAAUACCGGAUAGGAGCCAUUUUUAGUGUGAUGGUUGGAAAGUUUUUUCGGUGUAGGAUGAGCUCGCGGCCUAUCAGCUUGUUGGUGGGGUAAUGGCCUACCAAGGCGGCGACGGGUAGUCGGCCUGAGAGGGUGGACGGCCACAUUGGGACUGAGAUACGGCCCAGACUCCUACGGGAGGCAGCGGUGGGGAAUAUUGCACAAUGGGCGCAAGCCUGAUGCAGCGACGCCGCGUGGGGGAUGACGGCCUUCGGGUUGUAAACUCCUUUCGCUAGGGACGAAGCUUUUUGUGACGGUACCUAGAUAAGAAGCACCGGCUAACUACGUG
rnacentral:rRNA from 1 species